rnacentral:rRNA from 1 species
GGGACCUGCGGAGGGAUCAUUACACAACAAAAUAUGAAGGCCUGGCUUCGCGGCCGGCUGAAAUAUUUUUUUCACCCAUGUCUUUUGCGCACUUGUUGUUUCCUGGGCGGGUUCGCCCGCCACCAGGACCAAACCAUAAACCUUUUUUUUAUGCAGUUGCAAUCAGCGUCAGUAAAAACAAUGUAAUUAUUACAACUUUCAACAACGGAUCUCUUGGUUCUGGCAUCGAUGAAGAACGCAGCGAAAUGCGAUACGUAGUGUGAAUUGCAGAAUUCAGUGAAUCAUCGAAUCUUUGAACGCACAUUGCGCCCUUUGGUAUUCCAAAGGGCAUGCCUGUUCGAGCGUCAUUUGUACCUUCAAGCUUUGCUUGGUGUUGGGCGUUUUUUGUCUCCCUCUUUCUGGGAGACUCGCCUUAAAACGAUUGGCAGCCGGCCUACUGGUUUCGGAGCGCAGCACAUAUUUUGCGCUUUGUAUCAGGAGAAAAGGACGGUAAUCCAUCAAGACUCUACAUUUUUAACUUUUGACCUCGGAUCAGGUAGGGAUACCCGCUGAACUUAAGCAUAUCAAAAGG